UUUGAAUUGAUUCGUUCAACUAGUUUGUCCAAGAGAAGAGUACACAAAUCAGCUGAUCACAAAUCCGGGGUGUAAUUGAAAUUCUAUUUAGAUUGCAAAGCUGUGACCCACUUUUUAAAACGCUGUGGUGUUGGUAAAAUGGGAAAUUCACAUUCUCCCCCAAAACCGAUACAACCCCCUGAUGAGCUCCAUGUGUUCAAAGGAUUGGACGCUGUACCGUUGGAAUACAGCAUUCCGGAGGAUCCUGAAAAGAGAAAAUCCACAGAUCGUUUUUUCACUCUACUGAAUAUAAUUCUAUUCACAGGCUGGGU